ACUGUUUGCUUUCAGUUUAAGGCCAACAUAAUUUUACUUAGUCAAUUUCAUCUUCAAUAGGAAGCAAGAAUUCUUUUUCCUUUUCUUUUCCUUGUUUACAUGACAUGAUGGAGCUGCUUCCGAGUUCUAUUUUGAGACUUCAUGCCGCUGUCUAGAACCAGUGCUUGCAUUAUCAUCACUUAGCUCUCUCUCCGAAAUAAAUCCGAACAGCAAAAAAUGAAUUUUAGAAGUGCUGAAACAAGAAUUACAGAAAUUGUUAUCCUUCUGUUAGGAGCUAGAUGGGGCUGUCUACCAUAUUAUUACUAAACUUGAAUGAUGGCUAACAUUUUAC
rnacentral:lncRNA from 1 species